rnacentral:lncRNA from 1 species
CGAUACGGUUCUUAUCGAACAGGUAGAUGUCGUUGGAAACAAACAUGGCUGCCUUUCAUAGUUUAACAAAUGAAUGUUAAUUUUUUGGCAAAGAAAAUCAUUUUACAAAUAAAUAACGAGGGAAAAACAUUGUAUAUGGAAAAAAAAUUUUAGUGCUUCAAGAUUUUUUUAAAACUUGCUUGCAUUUUAACCUGACGAUCGAUUUAAAUUCCGUAUAAAUUCCCGCGCUGAGCGGCGCGAAAAGAAGAGUCAAUUGAAGAUACAAAAUGAGUAGGUGAAAGGGAGGAAUAAAAAACAAUUGAGACACACAUAAGCGAGCAGGUGGAAGAUAAAAUAAAUCACAACCAUAAGUACAAUGUCCAUCCAGAAGUUGGUCUCAUCAAAGUCGUAACGCUGUAAAACUUCCAAGCCUUCGGUGAUGCACGGCAGUCCCGGAUCAAUUGUUUUACAAGCUGUAAAUAUUAAUUACUUACACUUAUUCUUGUAUGCAGUUUUGUUACUUACAUAUGUUGUGAACAUCGUUCCACUGAAGAAUGGGUCAAAAUAAGUUUACGAGUACCCGAGCUUGACGAAGGGUCCCAUGGUGAUCAUGAGAACGUAAUCGAACGGUACCAAGUAUGCCAUGGCUAGUGUAAUUAAAGAGAAGGUUUACCACAUGCGGUUGAUACGUUUAUAGUGAAUAGAAGUACAAGCAACGACAGUCCAAAUGCCUCCACCGUUUCUCGCAGUCCAGCUAACCAAUAAAUUAUCGUGGCGAACAACAAUGGCUCCACUAUCAGUCCAGGGAAAGCAAUCGAGCCACAUAAUAGAGAUGCACCGAGUACAUCCCAGCUCGGUACUCUCUUCGAAGAAGCGGCAGUUCUUGCGGUAUCA